GAUGAAGAACGCAGCGAAAUGCGAUAAGUAGUGUGAAUUGCAGAAUUCAGUGAAUCAUCGAAUCUUUGAACGCACAUUGCGCCCCUUGGUAUUCCAUGGGGCAUGCCUGUUCGAGCGUCAUUUGUACCUUCAAGCUUUGCUUGGUGUUGGGUGUUUGUCCCUCGGGACUCGCCUUAAAGUCAUUGGCAGCCAGUGUUUUGGUUUUGAAGCGUAGCACAAGUCGCGAUUCAAGGCUAUCCGCCCGCUUCCACAAGCCUUUUUCACUUUUGACCUCGGAUCAGGUAGGGAUACCCGCUGAACUUAAGCAUAUCAAUAAGCGGAGGA
rnacentral:misc_RNA from 1 species